rnacentral:sRNA from 1 species
CAAUGGUGCUUUUGUAAAGCAUUCUUUUAACUGCAAAAUUGCGUGCUUGCAGUUAUCAUCUAACUGGACAGGAAUAUUUGCAAUUUGUUUAUAGUUCGCAGUUCUGGCCAAUCUAGGAUUGUGUUGAUGCGGUGUUUCUCGACAGUAAUGCUCUGUGUGGUAACCACAAAACCCAAAAAUCCAAUUUCUGUUGCAUGGAAUGUACACUUACUAAGUUUGGCAUAUAGUCUCCAUCGCCUUAACCAUUCCAGCAUGUUCUUAACAUGGACGACAUGUUCAUCAAGUGUGUUUGAAUAGAUUACAAUAUCGUCGAGAUAAGCCAUGCAAUAUACAUCUAAAAGGUCACUGAGGGCUUUGUUGAUAUAA